AUUGAACGCUGGCGGCAUGCCUUACACAUGCAAGUCGAACGGCAGCACGGGAGCAAUCCUGGUGGCGAGUGGCGAACGGGUGAGUAAAGUAUCGGAACGUGCCCAGUCGUGGGGGAUAACGUAGCGAAAGUUACGCUAAUACCGCAUACGAUCUAUGGAUGAAAGCGGGGGAUCGCAAGACCUCGCGCGAUUGGAGCGGCCGAUAUCAGAUUAGGUAGUUGGUGGGGUAAAGGCUCACCAAGCCGACGAUCUGUAGCUGGUCUGAGAGGACGGCCAGCACGACUGGGGCUGAGACACGGCCCAGACUCCAACGGGAGGCAGCAGUGGGGAAUUUUGUACAAUGGGCGAAAGCCUUAUCCAGCCAUGCCGCGUGCAGGAUGAAGGCCUUCGGGUUGUAAACUGCUUUUGUACGGAACGAAAAGGUUUGGCCUAAUAAGCUGAGCUCAUGACGGUACCGUAAGAAUAAGCACCGGCUAACUACGUGCCAGCAGCCGCCGUAA
rnacentral:rRNA from 1 species